AUUAUCUAAUUGAAUAAUUUAACGAUUUCCCUUUCCUAUUUGAUAUUGAUUAGCUCACCAAUCCAUAUGUAUAUGUAAUGGAACUCUAUUCGCUUUUCUGAUUGAUAUAUAAAAUAAUAGAAUUAGGAAAUCCUCUAUUUACUAUUCACUUAAUAAUAACUUUUUUGUUGACAAAAGAAUAAAGAUCAUUUCUAUUCCAAGGUGGGGAGUUUUAUUUUCCCCAUCGACCUA
rnacentral:misc_RNA from 1 species